rnacentral:rRNA from 1 species
GAACGAACGCUGGCGGCAGGCCUAACACAUGCAAGUCGAGCGCCCCGCAAGGGAACUGGCGCACGGGUGAGUAACGCGUGGGAACCUGCCCCGAGGUUCGGAAUAACGGCUGGAAACGGCCGCUAAUACCGGAUGCGCCUUGAGAGGGAAAGGAGCAUAUCGCUCUGGGAUGAGCCCGCGUUGGAUUAGCUAGUUGGUGGGGUAAAGGCCUACCAAGGCGACGAUCUAUAGCUGGUCUGAGAGGAUGAUCAGCCACACUGGGACUGAGACACGGCCCAGACUCCUACGGGAGGCAGCAGUGGGGAAUAUUGGACAAUGGGGGCAACCCUGAUCCAGCCAUGCCGCGUGAGUGAAGAAGGCCUUAGGGUUGUAAAGCUCUUUCAGUCGUGACGAUGAUGACGGUAACGACAGAAGAAGCCCCGGCUAACUCCGUGCCAGCAGCCGCGGUAAUACGGAGGGGGCAAGCGUUGUUCGGAAUUACUGGGCGUAAAGGGCGUGUAGGCGGAUUUUCAAGUCAGAGGUGAAAGCCCAGGGCUCAACCCUGGAAUAGCCUUUGAAACUGAUGAUCUAGAGUAUGGAAGAGGGUGGCGGAAUUCCCAGUGUAGAGGUGAAAUUCGUAGAUAUUGGGAGGAACACCGGCGGCGAAGGCGGCCACCUGGACAGUGAUUGACGCUGAGGCGCGAAAGCGUGGGUAGCAAACAGGAUUAGAUACCCUGGUAGUCCACGCCGUAAACGAUGUGUGCUAGACACGUUGGGGGUCUUAGGCCUUCAGUGGCGCAGCUAACGCGUUAAGCACACCGCCUGGGGAGUACGGCCGCAAGGUUAAAACUCAAAGGAAUUGACGGGGGCCCGCACAAGCGGUGGAGCAUGUGGUUUAAUUCGAAACAACGCGCAGAACCUUACCAGCCCUUGACAUGGGGGUCGCGGGCGCCGGAGACGGCACCUUCGGUUCGGCCGGACGGGACACAGGUGCUGCAUGGCUGUCGUCAGCUCGUGUCGUGAGAUGUUGGGUUAAGUCCCGCAACGAGCGCAACCCUCGCCCUUAGUUGCCAUCAUUAAGUUGGGCACUCUAGGGGAACUGCCGGUGACAAGCCGGAGGAAGGCGGGGAUGACGUCAAGUCCUCAUGGCCCUUAUGGGCUGGGCUACACACGUGCUACAAUGGCGGUGACAAUGGGUCGCGACCCAGCAAUGGCGAGCUAAUCCCCAAAAACCGUCUCAGUUCGGAUUGUCCUCUGCAACUCGGGGGCAUGAAGGUGGAAUCGCUAGUAAUCGUGGAUCAGCAUGCCACGGUGAAUACGUUCCCGGGCCU